UGAUAAGGUCCGUGUUCGAAAGGGAAACAGCCCAGACCACCAGCUAAGGUCCCAAAAUAUAUGUUAAGUGGAAAAGGAUGUGGCGUUGCCCAGACAACUAGGAUGUUGGCUUAGAAGCAGCCAUCAUUUAAAGAGUGCGUAAUAGCUCACUAGUCGAGUGACACUGCGCCGAAAAUGUACCGGGGCUAAACAUAUUACCGAAGCUGUGGAUUGUCCUUUGGACAAUGGUAGGAGAGCGUUCUAAGGGCGUUGAAGCAUGAUCGUAAGGACAUGUGGAGCGCUUAGAAGUGAGAAUGCCGGUGUGAGUAGCGAAAGACGGGUGAGAAUCCCGUCCACCGAUUGACUAAGGUUUCCAGAGGAAGGCUCGUCCGCUCUGGGUUAGUCGGGUCCUAAGCUGAGGCCGACAGGCGUAGGCGAUGGAUAACAGGUUGAUAUUCCUGUACCACCUAUAAUCGUUUUAAUCGAUGGGGGGACGCAGUAGGAUAGGCGAAGCGUGCGAUUGGAUUGCACGUCUAAGCAGUAAGGCUGAGUAUUAGGCAAAUCCGGUACUCGUUAAGGCUGAGCUGUGAUGGGGAGAAGACAUUGUGUCUUCGAGUCGUUGAUUUCACACUGCCGAGAAAAGCCUCUAGAUAGAAAAUAGGUGCCCGUACCGCAAACCGACACAGGUAGUCAAGAUGAGAAUUCUAAGGUGAGCGAGCGAACUCUCGUUAAGGAACUCGGCAAAAUGACCCCGUAACUUCGGGAGAAGGGGUGCUCUUUAGGGUUAACGCCCAGAAGAGCCGCAGUGAAUAGGCCCAAGCGACUGUUUAUCAAAAACACAGGUCUCUGCUAAACCGUAAGGUGAUGUAUAGGGGCUGACGCCUGCCCGGUGCUGGAAGGUUAAGAGGAGUGGUUAGCUUCUGCGAAGCUACGAAUCGAAGCCCCAGUAAACGGCGGCCGUAACUAUAACGGUCCUAAGGUAGCGAAAUUC
rnacentral:rRNA from 1 species